UUUCGCAAUGCCCGAAAGGGUGACGAAGCGACGCCGCGUGAGUGAGGAAGGCCUUCGGGUUGUAAAGCUCUGUCAGGAGUUAAGAAAUAUAAGUGUGUUAAUACCACAUUUAUUUGACGAAGGCUCCAAAGGAAGCCACGGCUAACUCUGUGCCAGCAGCCGCGGUAAUGCAGAGGUGGCAAGCGUUGUUCGGAAUUAUUGGGCGUAAAGAGCACGUAGGUGGGUCUGUAAGUCAGAUGUGAAAGCCUUCUGUUCAACGGAAGAAUUGCAUCUGAAACUGCGAGUCUUGAGUGUAGGAGGGGAGAAUGGAACUUCUGGUGGAGCGGUGAAAUGCGUAGAUAUCAGAAGGAACGCCGGCGGCGAAAGCGAUUCUCUGGCCUAUUACUGACACUCAGUGUGCGAAAGCUAGGGGAGCAAACGGGAUUAGAUACCCCGGUAGUCCUAGCUGUAAACGAUGGGCACUAAGUAGAGGGGUUUUA
rnacentral:rRNA from 1 species